rnacentral:rRNA from 1 species
UACGUAGGGUGCGAGCGUUGUCCGGAAUUACUGGGCGUAAAGAGCUCGUAGGUGGUUUGUCGCGUUGUCCGUGAAAACUCACAGCUUAACUGUGGGCGUGCGGGCGAUACGGGCAGACUGGAGUACUGCAGGGGAGACUGGAAUUCCUGGUGUAGCGGUGGAAUGCGCAGAUAUCAGGAGGAACACCGGUGGCGAAGGCGGGUCUCUGGGCAGUAACUGACGCUGAGGAGCGAAAGCAUGGGUAGCAAACAGG